rnacentral:rRNA from 1 species
GGUGAACGCUGGCGGCGUGCUUAAGACAUGCAAGUCGAACGGCAGUCUUCGGACUGUAGUGGCGCACGGGUGAGUAACGCGUAACUGACCUACCACACAGUCGCGGAUAACGAUUCGAAAGAAUCGCUAAUCAGUGAUAUGCUGUCAGAUUGUGUUCUGCCAGUAAAGAUUGAUUGCUUUGGGAUGGGGUUGGGUUCAAUCAACUAGUUGGUGGGGUAAAGGCCGACCAAGGCGACGACGGAUAGCCGACCUGGGAGGGUGGCCGGCCACAGGGGCACUGAGACACGGGUCCCACUCCUACGGGAGGCAGCAGUUAGGAAUCAUCCACAAUGGGCGAAAGCCGGAUGGAGCGACGCCGCGUGAGGGAUGAAGGUCUUCGGAUCGUAAACCUCUGAAUCAGGGACGAAAGACACUUCGGUGGGAUGACGGUACCUGAGUAAUAGCACCGGCUAACUCCGUGCCAGCCGCCGCCGUAAGAC